rnacentral:misc_RNA from 1 species
AAGUCGUAACAAGGUAACCGUAGGUGAACCUGCGGUUGGAUCAUUACCGAUUGCUUUCACUCUCGCUCCUGUAACAAGGGGCUUGAGAGUGACUGUACCCACCUAUUGUGAACUGUCCUGUCUCUGGCGGCGGGGUUGGAUGCAAUGUAAUGUUGCGUUCUGAUCUGUCAGCUUGGCUAGUCGUAACUGUCUAGUUUGCAAGCCGUGGACAAACCGCCAAUGGCUUCGGCCAACAGUCCAAACUUAUGUAUAUCCAAAUUUCCAGUCUGAAGUGAAUCAUGUAUAGAAAUAUACAAACAACUUUUGGCAACGGAUCUCUUGGCUCUC